rnacentral:rRNA from 1 species
GACGAACGCUGGCGGCGUGCUUAACACAUGCAAGUAGAACGGAGAGGGCGGGCCUUUGUGGGGUGGUCGAGUUGCGAACGGGUGAGUAACGCGUAGGUAACCUGCCUGGGAGCGGGGGAUAACUAUUGGAAACGAUAGCUAAUACCGCAUAAGAGCAGAUGCUGCAUGGCGGUGGCUGGAAAGGUGCGAUUGCGGCGGUUGGGGAUGGAGCUGCGGCGCAUUAGCGAGGGGGAGGGGUAACGGAUGACCCAGGCGUGGAGGCGUAGCCGGCCUGAGAGGGGGACCGGCCACAGUGGGACUGGGGUACCGGCCAGACUGCUACGGGAGGAAGCGGCGGAGGAUAGUGCGAGAUGGGCGGAAGCCGGAUGGAGCAACGCCGGGUGGUGGAGCACGGUCGUAGGGGUGGAAACCGCUUGAGCCUGGAACGUACAGUGUGUGACGGUAUCUGAUAAAGAAGCACCGGCUAACUACGUG